rnacentral:rRNA from 1 species
UGGCGGCGUGGAUAAGACAUGCAAGUCGAACGAGAGAAUUGCUAGCUUGCUAAUAAUUCUCUAGUGGCGCACGGGUGAGUAACACGUGAGUAACCUGCCCCCGAGAGCGGGAUAGCCCUGGGAAACUGGGAUUAAUACCGCAUAGUAUCGAAAGAUUAAAGCAGCAAUGCGCUUGGGGAUGGGCUCGCGGCCUAUUAGUUAGUUGGUGAGGUAACGGCUCACCAAGGCGAUGACGGGUAGCCGGUCUGAGAGGAUGUCCGGCCACACUGGAACUGAGACACGGUCCAGACACCUACGGGUGGCAGCAGUCGAGAAUCAUUCACAAUGGGGGAAACCCUGAUGGUGCGACGCCGCGUGGGGGAAUGAAGGUCUUCGGAUCGUAAACCCCUGUCAUGUGGGAGCAAAUUAAAAAGAUAGUACCACAAGAGGAAGAGACGGCUAACUCUGUGCCAGCAGCCGCGGUAAUACAGAGGUCUCAAGCGUUGUUCGGAAUCACUGGGCGUAAAGCGUGCGUAGGCUGUUUCGUAAGUCGUGUGUGAAAGGCGCGGGCUCAACCCGCGGACGGCACAUGAUACUGCGAGACUAGAGUAAUGGAGGGGGAACCGGAAUUCACGGUGUAGCAA